UGGGGAAUUUUGGACAAUGGGCGAAAGCCUGAUCCAGCAAUGCCGCGUGUGUGAAGAAGGCCUUCGGGUUGUAAAGCACUUUUGUCCGGAAAGAAAUCCUUGGCUCUAAUACAGUCGGGGGAUGACGGUACCGGAAGAAUAAGCACCGGCUAACUACGUGCCAGCAGCCGCGGUAAUACGUAGGGUGCAAGCGUUAAUCGGAAUUACUGGGCGUAAAGCGUGCGCAGGCGGUUUGCUAAGACCGAUGUGAAAUCCCCGGGCUCAACCUGGGAACUGCAUUGGUGACUGGCAGGCUAGAGUAUGGCAGAGGGGGGUAGAAUUCCACGUGUAGCAGUGAAAUGCGUAGAGAUGUGGAGGAAUACCGAUGGCGAAGGCAGCCCCCUGGGCCAAUACUGACGCUCAUGCACGAAAGCGUGGGGAGCAAACAGGAUUAGAUACCCUGGUAGUCCACGCCCUAAACGAUGUCAACUAGUUGUUGGGGGAUUCAUUUCCUUAGUAACGUAGCUAACGCGUGAAGUUGACCGCCUGGGGAGUACGGUCGCAAGAUU
rnacentral:rRNA from 1 species